rnacentral:rRNA from 1 species
GCGGACUUAAAAGAGACUCUGCGUUUUAAAGUUAGCGGCGGACGGGUGAGUAACACGUGGGCAACCUGCCUGUAAGACUGGGAUAACUUCCGGAAACCGGAGCUAAUACCGGAUAAUCCUUUUCCUCUCAUGAGGAAAAGCUGAAAGACGGUUUACGCUGUCACUUACAGAUGGGCCCGCGGCGCAUUAUCUAUUUGGUGAGGUAACGGCUCACCAAGGCGACAAUGCGUAGCCGACCUGAGAGGGUGAUCGGCCACACUGGGACUGAGACACGGCCCACACUCCUACGGGAGGCAGCAGUAGGGAAUCUUCCGCAAUGGACAAAAGUCUGACGGAGCAACGCCGCGUGAGUGAUGAAGGUUUUCGGAUCGUAAAACUCUGUUGUUAGGGAAGAACAAGUACAAGAGUAACUGCUUGUACCUUGACGGUACCUAACCAGAAAGCCACGGCUAACUACGUGCCAGCAGCCGCGGUAAUACGUAUGUGGCAAGCGUUGUCCGGAAUUAUUGGGCGUAAAGCGCGCGCAGGCGGUCCUUUAAGUCUGAUGUGAAAGCCCACGGCUCAACCGUGGAGGGUCAUUGGAAACUGGGGGACUUGAGUGCACAAGAGAAGAGUGGAAUUCCACGUGUAGCGGUGAAAUGCGUAGAGAUGUGGAGGAACACCAGUGGCGAAGGCGACUCUUUGGUCUGUAACUGACGCUGAGGCGCGAAAGCGUGGGGAGCAAACAGGAUUAUA